CCCUUAGAUGUUCUGGGCCGCACGCGCGCUACACUGAUACGUUCAGCGAGUAUAUAACCUUGAUUGGAAAAUCUGGGUAAUCUUUUGAAUGCGUAUCGUGCUAGGGAUAGAUUAUUGCAAUUAUUAAUCUUGAACGAGGAAUUCCUAGUAAACGCAAGUCAUCAGCUUGCAUUGAUUACGUCCCUGCCCUUUGUACACACCGCCUGUCGCACAAACCGAUUGAAUGAUUCGGUGAAAAUUUUGGACAUCGAGAGUGGUGAUUAAUUUCGCUGCUCUUAAAUGAAAAGAAUUUAAACCUAAUUAUUUAGAGGAUUGUGAAGUCAUAACA
rnacentral:rRNA from 1 species